AACUAGCCCAGAUCGCAACGGCAUCCUUUUUUGUUUAAAGGAAAAGCAGGGGCAAAAAAGAUAUAGUGGAGAGCUGGAAAAAGC
rnacentral:sRNA from 1 species